UAUUUGACUUGUGAUUUUAAUAAUGUUGAGUACUAUUUUAUGAAACUAUUGGAGAUGGAUUUAAUUAUUUAUUUCCGCUACGAUUAUAUUUUGAUAAAUAUGUUUAUGCUGAGAAAAUGUGACACCCUUUUUUAGAAUUAUUUCUGCAUUAUGUUUUAAAAUUAUAUGUUGGGGUUUAGGGUGUUACAAUAUCUCUAUGGUUUUUUUAGUGGGGUUGCCAAAGACCGUUAAGGGGAG
rnacentral:lncRNA from 1 species